rnacentral:misc_RNA from 1 species
GAUCUUUUUUGUAAUUGGGUUAAUCUUUAAUUUAUUUGUAAUUGUUGAAUGAUUUGUGAGCAUUUGGCCUUUGUUGAGUGUGAGUUUGAGAUUGCUUUUUCUUUUUUUCCUUUGAUGAGAUGGACAGAAAGGGAAGGGGAAGAUGGAAGUGAGGGUCUGUAAUCUUUGUUGUGGAUUAGGGAGAGUAGACAAAGAAAAGGCUUUGUCUGCCCUAUUUGUGCACUGCAAACUGAUGAACUGAACUGAACUGAUUUGGUUCCUCUAUCAAUUUGGUUUGGCUGGUUUUCAUUUUGGGAGAAUUCAGUAGUUCGAUUUUUCAAAAUCGGUUCAGUUCCAAAUCAAACCAACUGGUUGCUCAGCUGUAGUUUUGGGUAUUCCUUGUUUUAGUAGCUCCUUCAGUUGUACAAGUACAAGCAAGAAAAUUAUGUCACAAUCACAUCAUUUUUAUGACCCAUUUAUUUUGCAUGGAUGUGAUGUGAAUACUAUAAGUCUAGGCCAUGUGAACGACAAUGAAAAGCAAUGCCAUAUUUCAUGUGGUACUUCUAAAUGUUCAUAAACAAGCAUAAGACAUUAAAAUCAAGUAGUUUCCUUAAUGGUUAGUUUUUUGAGUUGGUGUUGGUUAAUCCUAUCUUUUACAAGUUGCAUUAUCAGAGUCAGAUAUGCUACGUUACUUGCUGGUUAGCUUUGAUGAAGAUUUGUUUCAUUUAUCCUUCCCUUUUCAUUUCUGAAUUUUUUAAGAUGCAGUUCCCUUCUCCAGCUUGCAGAAGUGCUAUACUGGUUUAUUUUUAUUUCUUUGAGUUGGGCGGAUUUAAGUUAGUUUGGAUUAUAUUUGCCAAUUUGAUUUACUGAUUUGGGAUUCUUUCAUAUGCAGUCCCCUACCUAUUCUAUUAAGUGAUUGGUUUAGAGGUAAUAACUAGAGGAUUUGUUGUUAAGUGAGGGCUUGCACUUGUUUUUAUUGUGGUUGGACCUAUCCAAGCUAUUAAUUUGCCUCAUUUGUUCUUUUUGCAUUCAUCGGAUUUAGUUGGCAAAUGAUUUGCUUGUCUAUAAACUUUGGUUUAGUAUCUGCUUGAAAUACUCUUUGCUUUUCUGAACUUCUUUUAAUUGCAGUUACCAUAGUUG